GAUGAACGCUGGCGGCGUGCCUAAUACAUGCAAGUCGAGCGAACGGACGAGAAGCUUGCUUCUCUGAUGUUAGCGGCGGACGGGUGAGUAACACGUGGAUAACCUACCUAUAAGACUGGGAUAACUUCGGGAAACCGUAGCUAAUACCGGAUAAUAUUUUGAACCGCAUGGUUCAAAAGUGAAAGACGGUCUUGCUGUCACUUAUAGAUGGAUCCGCGCUGCAUUAGCUAGUUGGUAAGGUAACGGCUUACCAAGGCAACGAUGCAUAGCCGACCUGAGAGGGUGGGCGCCCACACAGGAGCGGAGACGCGGUCCAGACUACGGGGGGAGGAGCCAGGGGGGAUUCUUCGGAAGAGGGCGAAAGCCGGAGGGAGAAGCGCCGCGGGGGGAAUAAUGGUUUGCGUAUCUAAAAACUUUUUUAUGGGGGAAAAAAAUUUUUGAAAGUACCUGUCCACUUCUGAGGGUCACUUAAUAAGAAGCCCACGAGAAAGUCGGGC
rnacentral:rRNA from 1 species